rnacentral:lncRNA from 1 species
AAGCGCUUUAGCAACUUGAAGCUCUCCAGGAUAGCUUAGGUGAUCGCUUAUCUGGCUGCCACGAACUGUCUCAGGCGUCCCUCGAUUUGUUUGUGCGCUGUGAGGAGCGUGGGAAUGCACCAGAAGCUCGCUUGGCAGGGAACGUGGAUAAUUAAUGUGCCUGAUCAUCCACCAAGCGUUUGAUCACUUAGGAAAAUGACUGUGGUGCCCGUCUUUAACAUACCCGAUGAGAUUUUUCAACAAGGUUUACUGGCACGUAACUUCUUUAACAGUCAUCCACUGAUGAGCAGUGCCAAUGUAAAGUGUGCCUGUAUGCCCAGCGGAGGCAGAUGGGAGUGAACUGCUGUGUGCAAUGAUUAAAUGAACACCCCUCUCCCCACAGUCCUAUCACAGCCGUGCCGGGUGAACGAGGAGCACUGCAGCAGAUGCCGUGUCAUUAACCAGCAGAUGGACAGCACUGGAGUUAAAUACUAAAUUACUGCCAGUUGUGGAGUCAUAAAGGCAGGAGUCUGGACUGCUCGAGAUGUGAGUCAAGCAUGUGGAACUCCAGGUAACGGGAAAUUAGCUCCCAUUAACCAUUUUCUUUAAAGUCUAAGAUCUUUUGCGACUCCUUAAAAUAUAAUUCAUGCUAUUGCUUCUUCAGAAGCUUUGUAGGACUGCAACUCUGUGGUAGCAGCCAGCAGUGACAGAAUAAAGCCCAUAUCAUUUGAGCUGGGGUUGAACAGAAGCACUUAAAUAUGCCAUCACUGAUGAGCUAAGCCCACGAGAGGAGGAUAACGCAGGGUCGCAUUUUUAAACCAUACUGGUUCAUGAUUUUGCUUACUUCUUACAAAAGAAAAUAUUACACAGAUAUUAAUUCCAAGCAGUAAGUGCUAGCUAAGACCAGUUUUUCAGAUCAGCAGUUGCUCUUAUGUAGCUAUGUGACUAUGAUUACACCGCACAAAGUAACCUAUCUGAAGAUUCACAGGACAGGACUACUGCCAAAACAGAUACAGUUAACCUUCUCUACUAAAGAUCUGCAUGGAAAUCCAGCAGUAAACUAAGCACAUAGUUACGUUUUCACAGAUGAUAUUACAAACACUAGGUGUAAAGCAGAAUGGUUCCAAUGACUGAAAAAACAGGGAUCAGCUGUUUGUUCUAAUACACAGCUUAGUAUUUUUAUCAAGAAAAGCAAACAGGAAGCUGCAGUAGCUCAGUAUUCCCUGCACUAUUCUAAACAAAACAAACCCAAACCAAAACAGCACACACUUAAGACAUUCCGCAUACAAAGAUUCUGGUCAGGAACACAAACUCUGAAACCUAAACAUAAACAAGCGCCGUUUUGCAAUGUAACAUUGAUAGUAUUUUACAUCCAGAAAAAAAAAAAAUAUGCAAUUUGAUUUCAAUUACAUCAACAGAACCAUAGCUGUAACA